rnacentral:rRNA from 1 species
CAGCCGCCGCGGUAACACGAAGGGGGCUAGCGUUGCUCGGAAUCACUGGGCGUAAAGGGUGCGUAGGCGGGUCUUUAAGUCAGGGGUGAAAUCCUGGAGCUCAACUCCAGAACUGCCUUUGAUACUGAAGAUCUUGAGUUCGGGAGAGGUGAGUGGAACUGCGAGUGUAGAGGUGAAAUUCGUAGAUAUUCGCAAGAACACCAGUGGCGAAGGCGGCUCACUGGCCCGAUACUGACGCUGAGGCACGAAAGCGUGGGGAGCAAACAGGAUUAGAUACCCGAGUAGUCCCUGUCUCUUAUAA